rnacentral:rRNA from 1 species
CAAUUGCCGGCGACCGGCGCACGGGUGAGUAACGCGUAUCCAACCUUCCGUACACUCAGGGAUAGCCUUUCGAAAGAAAGAUUAAUACCUGAUGGUAUGAUGAGAUUGCAUGAUAGCAUCAUUAAAGAUUUAUCGGUGUACGAUGGGGAUGCGUUCCAUUAGGUAGUAGGCGGGGUAACGGCCCACCUAGCCAACGAUGGAUAGGGGUUCUGAGAGGAAGGUCCCCCACAUUGGAACUGAGACACGGUCCAAACUCCUACGGGAGGCAGCAGUGAGGAAUAUUGGUCAAUGGACGAGAGUCUGAACCAGCCAAGUAGCGUGAAGGAUGAAGGUCCUACGGAUUGUAAACUUCUUUUAUAAGGGAAUAAACCCUCCCACGUGUGGGAGCUUGUAUGUACCUUAUGAAUAAGCAUCGGCUAACUCCGUGCCAGCAGCCGCGGUAAUACGGAGGAUGCGAGCGUUAUCCGGAUUUAUUGGGUUUAAAGGGAGCGCAGACGGGUCGUUAAGUCAGCUGUGAAAGUUUGGGGCUCAACCUUAAAAUUGCAGUUGAUACUGGCGUCCUUGAGUGCGGUUGAGGUGUGCGGAAUUCGUGGUGUAGCGGUGAAAUGCUUAGAUAUCACGAAGAACUCCGAUUGCGA